UUCUGCAGUUGAAGUCAUAGUGAGUUUUAAGUGCGGUUUUGGUUGUCUCGGAGAGAUACCAGCUGGGAAAAAAGCAUCUAGUUAAUACUCAGAAAUCCACCAGAAGAAAACCGCUUGCAAUUGGGCCAGCCCAAGCAAGAAGCCUUGGUGUUAAGAUUGUGGUAAAGCUUCACUGGGUUUUGUGUCCGUAAAGCUAUUGCUGGGAUAAAAGGAAUAGGAUCAGAACGACAUGAACAGGGACGUCCAGCAGAGGGAGCUGUAACUUCAGGAUCAAACUGAAGAUGAACUGUUUCUGGAGGUCCCACCGAGAUGACUAACCCCUGGGGUUGAGUCACGGAGCGCCAGUGUUAGGACCUCGCGGCUCAAGGACUCCUCAGUCCGCGGCAGCUCCAUUUGGGCUUCUGGGGUUCGUUGACCUGCAAUCUGCCUUCACCUGCCUGUGGCUGACUCUCAGGGUAGUAGAAGCUCAGAAAAAGCCCACCAUUGAAGGUUGCCAUCAAUACCAGCCUGGGGAUCUAGUCCUGGUAAAGACCUUCAGGAGAAAGGACUGUUUGGAACCUCGAUGGGAGGGGCCUUUCCAAGUCCUGCUCACCACGCAUACGGCCGUGAAGGUUGAAGGACAUCCCUUGUGGAUCCACACAUCGCAUGUCAAGCAGACACUGACCUCGGACGGAAGUGCUUGUGCAGGAACUUUAACUGAGCCGUCAGGAUGCUGACUCUGAUUUGGAUCCUGUCCUGUGUGGUCCUUGUGGGGGCAUGGAAUACCAAUUCUAUGGUUCAACGAAUGCAGGCCGUAGCCUUACAAGUUAAUCAGACUAAAUGUUGGAUUUGUACUCAUUUUCCUGUUAACCCCUCCUCCUCAGAGAUGCAUAUUCUGGCUUUCCCUUCAGAUUCUACAUGGUCCCUAAUUAAUACAGGGGCCCUCAUUCAUCGAACGCCCAUUUGGAGGUGGGAGCCCACCUUUGUGGUUAUUAAGGGGAGGCCUGGCUAUGCGUCAGGAGAAAUUAUACCGGGGUAGUACUCGGGUGGGUGAGUUGCCAUUGGGUUCCUGUGCCUACCUUGCUGAUUCAAGCCAGCUAUCUAUUCCCUUCCUCUCCUCAGGGAUCAGGAUUCCACUGAGGAAGAUGCUCGACGACUAGGAUACAUAGAACUUGGCUAAGGGUGGUGGAUUGUCCUUUUAAGACAAAAAGGGGGGAAGGGUGGUGGCUUAGACAACUAUAGGGAGCCCACUCAGUAUUGAAAGGGUUAAUGGAAAAAUUGAAUUAACUGCUUAGACCUAAGAGAAAAAUACUGCAACCUUGAAGAACAAUAGCAUCUUGUCUGACAACUGUAGGAUGAGCCCUGAGACAUUCCAUAUGUCUCUCUCUCGGGCCGAAUGUAAUCAAAGUUGUGAUAACUGAGUGUGUAGGCACCGCACCUGUUGUGUAGGAAUGGAAAUUCACUAAAACAUGGAUUGGUCAGUUAACGGAUGCAAAUAAGUGGAUUGAGAUGUGCAAAAUUUACUGAUUGGUUGUAAAAUGCUUUUAAGCAAGUGUUUGUGUAUCUUGCUUUGAGACGGCACAAUAGCUCUCGUUGUAUUGUUCUCCCUUAUGCACAAGUAAUAAAUGGGUUUUCUACGUA